UUGGUCAUACACUCGCCCCCGUGCCCCCCAAAAUAAAAAUCAAAUUUAAAUUAAAAUAUCACCUUCUCAAAAGUGUCAUGACAUUCCAAUGCUGCUUGUUCCUACAGCCUUUCACCUGCUUCGUUUUGACACUUGCAUCAUUCAACUCUGUCUAUAAUCACUGCUGUCUUAUGAGGGUCCAACAUUAUUGAAUGGAAUUGAAUUGCUUUAUUGUCAUUACACAUUCGUGCAAAAAAAAUAUCACUUAACAGGAAUGCUUUGCACGAGAAACAUGAAAAACAAUGGUGAACAUGGGAUGCGGUGCAAAGGGCCUGUCGGUACUCGGUGUGUGCACAGCGCCCGAGAUCUUAGUUCAAAAAGGAAACCACUCGGGAGGGAGAGGGGAAAAAAAACAUGCUCGAACUAUCCUCUUCUGAGGAUAAUUGAGUCCAGGAGAAUAAAGACCCCAGCACGUAAACAAGCAUAUGACAGUUCCAACAAGUCACAAGACAUAACAUGUAAUGAGGGGGCGGAUGGAUGGCGGGCGGGGGGAGGAAAAAAAUAGGAACAAUAAAGGCUAUGAUACAAGGGGGUGUAUGUGCGUGCAAUUGUCUGGUUGUGUGUGCGUGUCAGGCUGCAGCUGCUUCGUCAAGGUCUUCUCAUGGAGACAGUCUUGGCUGAUCAGUCUAUGGAUGAAAAGGAGGGGGUGAUGGUAGGGCAUUAGCUUCCAUGCGUACUUUCUUCCAGGGGAAAGGUCCAGAUAGCAGAUGUUUUGGGAACAGGCUGCCAAUAAUUCCAGACAGCCUUGAGUCCGUGGCCUGUGUCUCUUCAAUAGCGUCGAUCAGCCAAAUCCGCGAUUUCUUUUCUGAGCGCGGAUUCCAACUUCUCCAAGUUGUUGUCCAUCUUGCAAUGACGCUCCUAAAACCGCAUCCAUUUUGCGGUUGAGCUCAGUCACCGCUUGGGUCUGAGUGUUGGACGUCCGCACCAUGCCAUCCAUAAAGACCGGCAGCUUCUUCACUUCCAAUAAAGCCGCUCCCGUCGGUUGAAUUUUGCGUUAGAUCAGGAAACUGUUAACACCAAACAGCAGCAUACCUGUUAUCAGAAGGCCGAUAAUGUAGAUGUCUUCCACAUCCUCAACAGACAGUAUUGACAGGCACACCAUUCUCCACUUCCUCCAGGGAUCUAGGGUGUACCUAGCAGCAAAUGUCCCCGAGGGGCAAAUAGGCUCUUCACUGCCUGCUCUUCUUGUCGAGAAAAUUUUGUCGAUGAGAUCGAGAGCCAACCAAUUCCAUGGUUUGUUUUUAGGAUGAAAAUACGGCAGGAGGCUAGGAUAGUCAGACAAAGACAGCACAUAGACUGAGCGGCGAGCAGGGAAGGGUGAGGGGAGGACAGGAGCAGAGCAAAACAGUGUCCUCCUUCGUCGAGAGCCACGCAGAAAAAAAAGCCUUUUUGGGUGGUGGCCUAAUAUCACCACUGGCCCUGAUUUAAAGCAGUACUGAACAAAAGUCAUAAUUAGAAAUUUCAUCCUACCUGUGCCUAAAAUAUUGAAGGGUGUAGUGCUUGUGCCCAAAAUGUACCUACGUACGGGAGAUCAAUGCGGAUGCUUCAAACAAUUAUCCACAAUCGCCACCCUGAAGUGUGUGGAUAUUGUGAUUUAAAACAACACUUAACACAAUUUAUAAUUAUAUAUCUUGGACUACCAGGGGAUGAAGUAGAGAAGCAUGUAUUCUUAGUGGCCAAAAUAAAUGCAAGUAUCUCAUAUUAGUAGGUGAUCAAGGCAGCCGCUUGAAAAAAUAUCUACACUCUAUACUCCCCAUUCUAUAGAUGUUGUGAUUUAAAACAGUUCUUAACAAAAUUUAUAAUUAUAUAUGUUGGCCUGCCCGCCGAUGAAAUCGGGAAGUGUGUAGACUCCAUGGCCAAAAUUCACAGGGGUACAGAGCGUACAAUGCGCAAAUGAAUGGAGUGAAGGAAUGUGCACAGCAGGUGUAAAAAGAGCACAGAGGAUCAAUUUAAGUGGAUAAAAUAAAAAAAUAUUAAACAUUAUUAUUAUUAUUAUUUCAAGACAUGUUAAUUUCAUCUCAUCUAUAUUUUGUGGAAUACUUGUACCGCCAAAAUCAUUACUUUUCAGGAGACUCAAAAACGUUUGUUCAACCAUAAACAUUGCUUUGUCAAAGAGAGUAAGCGAUUUUCAACAUUUUAUAAUGAAAUAAGUUGUAAAAACAACACCCACACACGUCACCUGACCGGCAUAAACUUCAGGUGGUGCAACACAUCAAGCGAUCAGGCCAGUUCCAGCCUGGAUGCGAGUUAUGGCAAGUCACAUUCUUUUGUCAUUGUUUGGCUGGUCCUGUGACAUUCAGCAAACACAACAAAGAGACAGUAUGCCAGAGAGAGGCAGGCGAAUGAUCAGAGAGUCAACGGCGUGACGAGGGAAGGUGCUGGGCGGGGCACGAAGAUUCGCAGCCCAUCAGCUCACUGGAUAAAUCCCCUCGUGCUGUCAUUGGUGGACGUCUGUUCUCGACCAAAUCGGUUUUCAACCAAAAUUUUCGCGUUUUUUUAUGCCUCGGAUUACGACCGAAAUUCGGUUCUCGAACAAACUGAGUGCACUUAAAUGCACCAUUUGACUGCUCUCACCUUCCUUGCACGUCGCUUUCAAUUGUGAGCAGACGUGUUCUGUCACGGUUCUGUUUCAGUCUGGCCAGCAGAUGGCAUUAGCGGACUUCUGUGCACACCUGCUGCUAAUCUAUGAUUAGUUACACAAUGUAUUUAAGGACCCCUCUGCUAUGCACAUGUUGCUGGCGUAUUGCCUUUGCCUUGCUGCUUCCUUGUUCAUAGACUGCUUUUGCUAUUGACCUCGGUCGUGUUUCACUUUUUGAACUCUCGGUAUCAAGUAUUUUGUAAGUAUGGUUUUUAUUUUGUGAUUUGAAAAAAGUGUGCAGUCUGUGAAUGUGUGAGUGCCAAACAGCGAGUAUGCGGGAUUCCGCUGUAGUAGAGGUAAAAACCACCCCCCCCCUCACCAAAAAAAUAAAAAUAUAAUAGGCAGUCAAAAGUGAGUCUUUUAUCUUACCUUGAACUCAUAGUUCAUUUUUUUCCCCAGAAAUUUCAACAAUGUUGAAUACUCAUUUAGAUUGUGGCAGCUUGUGCCCCCACUUUGUGUUCCCUGAAGUAAUUGUUUUUGUUUAUUAAUUUAUAAGGGGCGAUCAAAAAACAAUGAGCCCUAUUCAAUACUGUAUACCAGACUGAUAGUUCAUAUUUUUUCCAAAAAUUUCAACAGUGGGUAGUGAGGAAAAGCGGGAUAAUGGAGACUUUAAAUCGUUUGGAUGAAUCCACUUCCUGAUUGUCAUUUUGGAAAUGAAGUCGUAAUUAGAUGUCCAUUAGAAGCAAAAAAGUUGCGAUUGAAUUCCUUGUUUUGGAAGACGAACCAACAAUAAACAUUUUCAAAAGACUAGAAAACGUUUAUGGGGAUGCUGCAAUAGGCUACAACACUGUCAAAUAGUGGAUACCCAGGAUCAAAGUUGAAGAAGAUCCAAUUUUAAGCAAAAUAUGGGACAGAUGAAAGGCCAUCUUGUGCUUCAUUGUGGAAACAGUGCUAUGGUUGAGGAAUUGUUCAGAGAAAAUCACAGAAUUACAACUGAUGACCUUGGUUAACUUCUUUGAAUAAGCCAUGGAAAGGCUGCAGAUAUUGUGGGGGGGGGGGGGGCGAGACCUCCCAAAGGUUCUUGCCAGGUAGGUUCCAAGACAACUUACAGAUGCCAACAAGCAAGCCCAUAUCAAAGCUUGUGUGGAACUUAUUGAGUGCCAUAAAAGUGACAGGAAAUGAGACCUGAGAUUGAAUCUUUUGAAAAUGUUUAUUGGUGGUUCCCCUUGCAAAACAAGGAAUUCAAUCACAGCUCAGCUUUGGCAAACAUCCAAUGAUGAUGUAAUUUCCAAAAUGGCUGGCAGGUCGUGGAUACAUAUUUUUCUUUUGAUUAAAGUGAGUAUUUUAACCAUGCACUGUUGAAAUUUCUGGAAAAAUACGAACUAUAAAUCAGGUCAAUUGAAAAGAGUUCAUUACUUUUGGACUGCCCAUCGGAAAAUAAAUGUUUAAAAAUAGAAAAAAAAUUAAGGCUGGCCCCUCCGUGAGUCGUCACCUUACUGUGGUGGAGGGGUUUGUGUGUCCCAAUGAUCCUAGGAGCUAAGUUGUCUGGGGCUUUUAUGCCCCUGGUAGGGUCACCCAUGGCAAACAGGUUCUAGGUGAGGGGCCAGACAAAGCACGGCUCAAAGACCCCUGAUGAAAAUUAAGAUAAAUGGAUCGAAGUUUCCCUUGCCCGGACGCGGGUCACCGGGGCCCCCCUCUGGAGCCAGGCCUGGAGGUGGGGCUCGUUGGCAAGCGCCUGGUGGCCGGGCCUACACCCAUGGGGCCCGGCCGGGCACAGCCCGAAGAGGCAACGUGGGUCCCCCUUCCCAUGGGCUCACCACCCAUGAGAGGGGCCAAAGGGGUCGGGUGCAAUGUGAGCUGGGCGGCAGCCAAAGGCGGGGACCCUGGCGGUCCGAUCCUCGGCUGCAGAAACUAGCUCUCGGGACAUGGAAUGUCACCUCUCUGGCAGGGAAGGAGCCCGAGCUGGUGUGUGAGGCAGAGAAUUUCCGACUGGAUAUAGUCAGACUUGCCUCCACACACGGCCUGGGUUCUGGUACCAGUUCUCUCGAGAGGGGUUGGACUCUCUUCCACUCUGGAGUUGCUCACGGUGAGAGGCGCCUAGCAGGUGUGGGCAUACUCAUUGCCCCCCGGCUCAGUGCCUGUACAAUGGGGUUCACACCGGUAGACGAGAGGGUUGCCUCCCUCCGCCUUCGGGUGGGUGGACGGGUCCUGACUGUUGUUUGUGCAUAUGCACCAAACAGCAGCUCAGCAUGCCCACCCUUUUUGGAGUCCCUGGAGGGUGUGCUGGAGAGUACUCCUGCUGGGGACUCCCUUGUUCUGCUGGGGGACUUCAAUGCUCACAUGGGCAAUGACAGUGAGACCUGGAGGGGCGUGAUUGGGAGGAACGGCCCCCCCGAUCAGAACCCGAUGGUGUUUUGUUAUUGGACUUCUGUGCUCGUCACGGAUUGUCCAUAACGAACACCUUGUUCAAACAUAAGGGUGUCCAUAUGUGCACUUGGCACCAGGACACCCUAGGCCGCAGUUCGAUGAUCGACUUUGUAGUUGUAUCAUCGGAUUUGCGGCCGCAUGUUCUGGACACUCGGGUGAAGAGAGGGGCGGAGCUGUCAACUGAUCACCACCUGGUGGUGAGUAGGCUCCGAUGGUGGGGGAAGAUGCCGGUCCGUCCUGGCAGACCCAAACGUAUAGUGAGGGUUUGUUGGGAGCGUCUGGCGGAAUCCCCUGUCAGAAGGAGUUUCAACUCCCACCUCCGACAGAGCUUUUCCCAUGUUCCGGGGGAGACGGGGGACAUUGUU